UCAUUCUGAGUUUUGCUACUGUCCGCCAUUACCUCGCUUCGAUGAAGACGUCGUUUGGUUUUUUUCAAGGAAACUCGUUUAAACAAGGUUUGCUGUUUCCUGAAAAGGUCACAAUUUUAGCCAUUACUGAAUUCGUCUUCUGAUGAAUGUGGAAAUGCAAAGACUGUGGUACAUCUGUUUCACGAAGAUCUGAGCUACUUAAACAUUAUAAGCUUGAACACAGACAUUAUGGACGUCACCAUUCCUAUCACUGCAUCUAUUUCAACUGUCCAUGUACCUGCAAGACUUGGAAUGCACUUUUGAGCCACUUGUCAAGAUGUCAUCAGCAAUCCUCACAAACGGAACUUACCACAUUUAAAUGUCUUUUAUGCAGUUGCAAUCAACAUUCAAAUUUAAAAGAUUAUUUUCAACAUAUAGCGGAGCACCUGAAAAAACAUGAAACAGUAGUUUGUGUGUUUCAGGGGUGUUCCUACAAAACAAAUGUUUAUGGUUCGUUCCGAACUCACAGAAGCAGAAAUCAUAAGGAUUGUUCUGAAACUGACCUAAAGCCUGAAGUAGUUGAGAAAAAGGAGUCAAGCGUAAAUCUUUCUGCUGAAAGUCAUUGUAGCAGUAUCCAGAUUGAUAGUGUUGGUACUGAGCCCUUAGAUGAAUUAAGUACAGAUGACUUGGGUGAUUCCAGUUUUGAUGUGCAGGAUUUAAAUGACUUGACAUGUAAUGUUGAGCUCAAAGUUGCCUCCCUUUUACUAAAGCUAGAACAUAUUUAUCUUGUUUCUAGUGUGGCUGUUGAUGAACUUUUGCAAGAGUUUGACUAUUUAAUAGGCACUGCUUCGGUCCCUCUUAUCCAUCAAACCUUAGCUCAGCACUUACAGAAUGGUAACUGUCAAGUAGAUGAAACUAUUCUGCAAGACCUAGCAUCUACUCUCUGUAAGUCAAAUCCAAUCACUACUUCUUGUAGUGGCCGUGGCCCUCUUUCCACUGCCUGGAAGCGAAAGACUUACUACAAAAA